rnacentral:lncRNA from 1 species
CUUCCCCGACCUCAUGAACAUGGCCGAGAAGCUCAUGCGCGAGGGGAAGGCUUACGUGGACUACACGCCGAGGGAGCAGAUGCAGAAGGAGAGGAUGGACGGGAUCGAUUCCAAAUGCAGGAGCCACACGGUCGAGGAGAAUCUUAACCUCUGGCGAGAGAUGAUCGCUGGAAGCGUGAGAGGGUUGCAGUGCUGCGUCCGCGGGAAGCUGGACAUGCAAGACCCCAACAAAGCCAUGCGUGACCCUGUUUACUACCGUUGCAACCCUAUGUCUCACCACCGUAUAGGGGACAAGUACAAGAUCUAUCCGACGUAUGACUUCGCUUGAAAAAAAAAAACAGUUUCAUUUUUUAGUUUUAAAAUAUAAAGUAAGUUUAAACUUUUCUUCUUUAUCAAAAAUAUUUUACUUUUCGUAUGCUUUAAAAACAUAUUAUAAACAAAUCAAUUUUAAUAAGAUUUAAAUAAUAAUAAAAAAUAAAUUAAAACGAAAUAUGUAAAAAGCAAAAUUUAUGAUAAAGAUAGUCAAACGUUUCAUAAUUUGUAUUUGGAAACAAAAAACAUGUUGUACAUAAAAGAAGAAUGUACAUUUGCAAAAUUUAAAAUAUGACACUUGUAAUGAUCAAACAAUAAAGUGCAUUAACAACUUUUAUAUGUGUUUUAUUAGAGUGUUGGAUAAAAAUAUUAAAAUAGUAUGUCAAUACUAAUAAUGAUUUUGAUUCAAGAAUGAUAAUAUUUAAGGUAAAGUAUAAAAUUUCGGGUUUUCGGACCGGUCCUAGCCCAAAUGGGCUUAGACCCAAAAUACCCAAAGCCGAAAUGGGCUUAGCCCGAAAGACCCGAUCUUUUUGGGCUUAUAAAACUAAGCUCAAACCCGGUAAUUUUUAGGAUAGGCGGACUCGGGCUGCGGGCUUCGGUCCUAAUUGACAUGUCUAUACAUAUUAUUAUAACUAUAAUACGACAUAGUCUAAGAUAAAUAUCACUUACACAUUAUCUAUACUAUCAUUAAAUUAUAAACAAUAAUAAAAGAUAUAUUAUGUUCUACGUCCAGUAACAAAUAUGAUUUAAAAUUAUCCAUUAGCAAAUAUGAUUUUAAAACAAAAUAAUAAGAAUUGGUCAUAACUCUUCAAAGUUACAAUUUUUUUUUAAUAAAAAAGGUGUAUGUCUAAUUACAAAACUUGAAAUAGUUAUACUAUUUAAAUUAAUAAAUUAAUAAUUCAGCUAAAAACUAAUAAUAAAUUAUUGACUAACCUAAACCUAAUAAAAAUGACAAAUAAGAAAAAUUAACUAAAAUCCGGGAAAACAUGACAAAUAAGCAAAAAAAAAUUAUAUAUCUAAUUACAAAUUUUAUAGUUAUAUUAUUAAAUUAAUUAAUUAUUAACUCAGCUAAAAACUAUUAAUAAAUUAAUGGAAAGUAUGACAAAUAAGCAAAAAUACUUCAUAAAUAAUAGUAUAGAUAAACAAUACUAAUGUUUUUACUAUUAUUAUUAUUAUCAAAUAAAUAUCACUUUUGUUUAUAUAUAAAAUUUAAUAAAAUUAUAUAAAAAUAUAAACAAAAAUCAAUAAAAAUAUAAGUAAAAGAUAAGUAAAAAUUAUUUUUUAAAUGUGAAAUUUUGUAUUAACAACCAAUUUAUAUUAUUAUUUGAGAAGUGAGUUUGUUGAUGGUAUCUAUAUUUUGCAAAAUAUCUAUAUUUUGUAAAAUCUUUGCAUUAGUCAGCGGUGGAAACUCUGUCGGCAUAAUUUUGAAUCAAAGAGUUUGUAAAAAUCCGAUGAACUUAAGUUGAUUUCUCUUCUUUAUAGAAUGUUUCAUUGGAAUCCAAGUGUGAACUUGUUUAUUUAGGGUAGAUGUUAGAUUAAGGUCUAACCUAAGACUCAACUGAGUUAAUGUCUAUCUUAAUUUGCUGGUUUAACAUCGUAAUCGUGCUCGUCUAAAUUAGUGUGAUGGCUAGGAAACAUGAGAGAAAGAGAGAGAUUAUUAUAUCUCUUUACAAACGACUUACAUAUUUAUAGGAGCCAUAGGUCAGCAAUAUAUUAGAAUAAAUAUUAAAAUAUUGCAAGAAUGUUAAAUUCUUACUAGAGUAUUUGUUCUAAAAAGAAUGUAAACAUGCUCAUCUUCUCUGAAGUUAACACUUAACCAAACGCCUCAUAACUAAGUGGAUUCUGUUCGGAUUCAUCUACUCUCUUGAAAACACACUGAUGCAUGAAAAAUAGUUAUAACCAAAAGGAUAUAGUAGUCACACUCCAUAUGAGAUUGAAGCAUUCAUCCUUGCCUAACAUUGUUACCUACAACUACAAGUGCUAUUAGAGAUGAAGCAAGUAUUGCAAGGAUACAGUGGUGGUACUAAUGAAAUCAAAACAUGUGACGUCUCUCUUUCUUGUGGAAAUGUCUGUGAGACUAUUUGAGAAUUAUGUAAAAACCAAGUUCUCGUUGUCUCUCGUUGUCUAAAGAACACUAAAUUCAAUACAAGUUGGGAUGAAUAAUGUAAAGUUUGAUACUUUAUGGACUUUAGUGGUAAAAAAGUACAAAAAUUUGAAAAACUUAUAAUCAACUCAAUACAUUGAACAUUAGGAAUGACAAUUACUCUCUUUUUGUGUAAGGAAAACUUAUAAUUCAAUCCAAGCUCGGAUAGAUUCUGACCCGGCCCUGAUAGAAAUGCAAUGUUUGGCCGAAUUAUUCAAACUGUUUGUCUAGCCUAGUGGUAUCAAUACUAUUAAAUUAUAAAUAUGAUCUAUUGAUAAAAGGUUAUGUCCAACUAUUAUUUCAACAAAACAUACAUUUUAAAUAUAACUGCAAUUAAAUUUAAUUUCUGAAUCUAACCACCACAUGUCUAAUAAUAGGGUAACCACCAUGACCAGUUUGAUUAAAAUAUAUUGAUGCAGUUAUUCAUACAAACAUCAAUUAAUAUAUCACGUGAGAUACCAAAGAAACAAAAACAUUAGAAAAAUCAACUUUGUUUUAAUUAAAUUUAUGCCAAUAUAUAUUGACAUUCCAAGCACAUAUUCCAAUAUAUAUUGACAUUCCAAACACAUAUCAAUUGUAACUAUAACUUUUUUUUAUCUUUUUAAAAUUAAUCAUUCGUUAAAAAUAAAAUACAAAAUUAAUGUGUGAAAUGACCAUGACACAAUUGUAUAGUUAUGUAACAUCACAAAUUUAAUACAAUUAUCAAAACCUCUUACUAAUAAUUUUAAAAAUAUUAUACACAAACAUAUAAAUUGAAUUUUUUUAACAUAUAAAAAAAUUACAAAAAAUGUUACAUAUUUACAUUAAAAAAAAAAUUACAAGCCAACAUUAUACAUGCGGGUCAACAUCUAGAACCGACAAAUAUGAUUACAAAGAAACGAGCAUACGAGCAUUAUGAUUACAAAGAACUAAGCGUAUGCCGUCAACUUGACUAUUAUUACAUAAAAUAUAUUUUGAUAAAGAUUUAUACACAGAUAUGAUUAAAAAGAAAAACACAAAUAUAAUUAUAAAAAAAAACAAAUAUGAAAAUUAAAUUUUAAAAAAAAAAUUAAAACAAAAAUAUACCCGCAGAAUCUAGUUAUUAGCUAAUUUGGAAUCUAACAGCGUAAGUUCGAUCUGUGGGUGGGCUCAUUACCGGUUUUACGUUUUGAAAUAGCUUCUGGGUCCUCUUAUAAAGUCAGGACCGCUCUCCAUCUAAAACCUAAGACCCGAAAGACUGUUUUUUUUUUAAAUCGGUUUUGUCGCCGCCCCUCAUCUCACAAACACAAAGGAAGAAGAAGAAGAAGAUGGAAGGGAUCAAGCUCUCUUUCCCACCGGAGACUCCGCCGCUUUCAGUAAUCGCUGCUCUCUCCCUCUCAUCUUCUCCGGUAACCAUCGACUCCUCUUCCGCCGCAACCACCGUCCCUACUUUCGUUUUCUCCGACGGGUACUUCUCUCACUUUUCCCCCAAUCUGAUUCCUUCUCUUCCUCUUUGAAACUAAAACCCUUUUUUUUUGUCUGGAUUUAGGCGAAAGCUGAGUGGGACAUCAGUUCUUCUCCGGUACGUUGGUCGAUCAGCGAAGUCUCUUCCUGGGUUUUACGGCCACGAUGCUUUCGAAUCUUCACAGGUCUCAAACACGAAUCUUCCUCAUUGUAGAAUUUUGCUUUAAAGUGGACAAAGUCUCACCUUUACUCUGUUUCUUCUUCUCACUGUAGAUUUUGUUUGUAAAGUCUGAACCUUUACUCUGUUUCUAAUUGUAGAUUUUGUUUAAAAAGUCUCAACCUUUGCUUAGUUUCUUCUUCUUAUUGUAGAUUUUUUGUUUAAAGUCUCAACUCAACCUUUACUCUGUUUUUUUUGUUUAAAGUCUCAACCUUUAUACUUUGUUUCUUCUUCUCAUUGUAGAUUUUGUUUGUAAAGUCUUAACCUUUACUCUGUUUCUUCUUCGCAUUUUAGAUUUUAUGUGUAAAGUCUCAACCUUUACUCUGUUUCUUCUUCUCGUUGUAGAUUUUGUUUUUAAAGUCUGAACCUUUACUUUGUUUCUUCUUCUCAUUGUAGAUUUUUUUGUUUAAAGUCUCAACCUAUAUUAUGUUUUCUUUUGCAGAUUGAUGAGUGGGUAGAUUACGCUUGUGUCUUCUCCUCUGGCUCAGAGUUUGAGAAUGCUUGCUCUCGCGUUGAUAAGUACCUUCAGAGUGGCACCUUUCUUGUUGGUCAUUCUCUUUCCAUUGCCGAUGUUGCUGUUUGGUCAGCUCUUGCUGGUAUGUAUCCAUCAUCUUGCUAUGAAUCUUGCUGAACAUAGCUCAUUAGUUACAUUAUGCAAUGUUCUAAAAAUCAGACCUAGCCAACCUAUCUUUAUAAAAUCCGAUCUAAUCAGCUUAAACCGAUUUAAGCUAUUCUAAAUUGGUUUAAAUCGAUCGAAGUUGGUCUAAUACAAUCUGAAUUGGUCGGUUAAAUCAAGUAAAAAUGUUAGUAUAAGUCCACAAAUUUAUCUGAUUUUGGUUUUUAUAUCUAAGUUUUAUAAUUCAUCAAAAUAAUUCUAUAAUUAAAUAUAUAAUAUAUAUAAUUAAAUCUAAAACUUAAAAUAUCUAAUAUAUAUAUAUAUAUAAUAUACAAAUUAAUAAACAAUUGGUUGAAGUUUGAGGAAUAAUCUGCAUAUUUACAGCCUAGCCAUUUCUUGAACAAUAGUUACAGUCUCUAACACACUGUUAUCAUCAUCAGGAUCCGGUCCAAGAUGGGAGAGUUUGAGGAAAUCUAAAAAGUAUCAGAACUUGGUCAGAUGGUUCAACUCAAUAUCGCUCGAGUAUGCAGAGCCACUCAACAAGCUAGCUACAUAUACUGCGAAGAAGCCUUCAGGGAAGGCUGUUUCUGCUGCACCAAGGUCCAAGGACCAACAAGCAGACAACGUCAACGACAAAGGAAAGCCUGAAGUGGACUUGCCAGGCGCAGAACUCGGAAAAGUCAAACUCCGUUUCGCUCCAGAGCCAAGCGGCUACCUCCACAUCGGCCACGCCAAGGCCGCCCUUCUCAACAAGUACUUCGCCGAGCGGUACCAAGGGGAAGUCAUCAUCCGCUUCGACGACACCAACCCCGCCAAAGAGAGCAACGAGUUCGUCGAAAACCUCGUCAAGGACAUCGGUACCUUGGGGAUCAAGUACGAGCGCGUGACCUACACUUCCGACUACUUCCCCGACCUCAUGAACAUGGCCGAGAAGCUCAUGCAAGAGGGGAAGGCUUACGUGGACGACACGCCGAGGGAGCAGAUGCAGAAGGAGAGGAUGGACGGGAUAGAUUCCAAAUGCAGGAGCCAUACCAUCGAGGAGAAUCUUAACCUCUGGCGAGAGAUGAUCGCUGGAAGCGUGAGAGGGUUGCAGUGCUGCGUCCGCGGGAAGCUGGACAUGCAAGACCCCAACAAAGCGAUGCGUGACCCUGUUUACUACCGUUGCAACCCUAUGUCUCACCACCGUAUAGGGGACAAG